rnacentral:rRNA from 1 species
GACGAACGCUGGCGGCGUGCCUAAUACAUGCAAGUAGAACGCUGAAGAGAGGAGCUUACUCUUCUUGGAUGAGUUGCGAACGGGUGAGUAACGCGUAGGUAACCUGCCUUGUAGCGGGGGAUAACUAUUGGAAACGAUAGCUAAUACCGCAUAACAAUGGAUGACACAUGUCAUUUAUUUGAAAGGGGCAAUUGCUCCACUACAAGAUGGACCUGCGUUGUAUUAGCUAGUAGGUGAGGUAAUGGCUCACCUAGGCGACGAUACAUAGCCGACCUGAGAGGGUGGUCGGCCACCCUGGGACUGAGACACGGCCCAGACGCCUACGGGAAGCAGCCAGAGGGAAUCGUCGGGAAUGGGGGCAACCCUGACCGAGCAACGCCGCGUGAGUGAAGAAGGGUUUCGGGUCGGAAAGCUCUGUUGUAAGUCAAGAACGGGUGUGAGAGUGGAAAGUUCACACUGUGACGGUAGCUUACCAGAAAGGGACGGCUAACUACGUG